AAAAAGACAUGGCAGAGAAAACAUAUGCAUUCAUGUGCGUUCAACUACUUUUAUUUUUAUAUGAUUUAUUAUUUUAUUUCAAAAAAAUCCUUUUUUCUCCAAACUUAUAAAAGUAAUAUAUUAUUUCUUUCCAUGUCCAAGUAGAUUCCCUAGUGUUUGAUUACUGCUACAGCCGAAGGAAAAUAAAUACAAUGUGUGUCAUUAAAGUAAUUCAGUGCAAAUUGGGCAUAACACAAAAUUACAUUAUUAACAGCUGUUAAAUGACUAUAAAAUGUAAUUAGACACACUCAAUUCACUACUCAUGAACUGGACCUGAUUUCUAAAAUAUCAAUUUGGAUCUUUGAUUAUUCCUGACAAAAGAGAACAUACUUAGAUUCUAGGUUUAAAUUCCUGGUAAUGGAUGUAUCCCCCCAAGACCUUCACUGGGAUUCCCAAUAGGAGGAGGAGGAAACAGUUUUUAAGCACAGAAGGAGGGGGAUUGUGAGUUAUCAUAGGGGUGCCGGCCGGGUUCCCACUGAAUCCCUGCCAGCUGCACUGAGGCAUGAGUUCCCUGGUUAAAUUUUAACUCUCUGCUUACAAAGAGCCAACAAAGCUCAGCACAGAUACUUCUACUAUAGAUGUUUAUGACUGCGGCUCUUCUUGGCUUUCUCACUUUUUUGGCUGCCUUUUCAACCCAUUCAGUUAACCUGCUUAAUUUAAAAAAUAAAAUAAAAUAAAAAUAAAGUAAAAUAAAAUAAAGCCAGCAAAUAUAUAUGGACAUAUUCAUAUCUGCUCUGCACUCCUCUAAGGCAGAAGGGAAGCGGGAUGGCAUGAUGUCCAAUAAGUGCUUUGGGAUCUGCCAGGGGAACAUAACUGGGUCUCACUCAAAACCCCAUGGAGUUCCCUGGUGGCUCAGCUGGUUAGGGAUCCAGCAUUGUUGCUGUGGUGGUGUGUUCAACCCCUGGCCCAGGAACUACUGCAUGUCGGAGGCGCGACCAAAAAAUAAAUAGAUAAAAAAUAAACAUUAAAAACAAACAAAACCUCCUUCCUCUAGUCAUCCUGGCCCUGAGCUAUCUUCUCAGUCUGAGUUCUGGCUUCUCUUUUACCCAAACGCUCCUCGGCUAGGUUACUCUCCUCUUUUCACAGCGCACUCUUUCUUUCCAGGUACAGUUCCAAAUGCAUCCGCCCUGCCUCCCUGGAGCUUUGACUACAGCCCCAACCGGAGGUCUGCUUUUCCUCCUCAAAUUCCUUGUAACCCUCAGUCUGGGGCUUCUUUUAUGAUAAUCUCUGCACUGCGUUUUCAGAUGAGAGGUUGGUACGGUUCAGAGCAUGGACUCUGGAGCCAGGCAAAACUGGGUUUCAAUCCUGGUGCUUCCAGUUGUUGGUGGUGUAAUUAUGGGAAAGUUGCAUCCCUUCUCUCAGCAUUUAUAAAAUGGGCACGGUAAUGGUACAGUUUCCUUAUCCCAAAAUCCUGAGGCCAUGAAAGGUUUGGAAUUCAAAAAUUUGGAGAUUUAAAAAAGUAUAGUGCAGGGAGUUCCCUGGUGGCCUAGUGGUUAAGGACUCAGCAUUGUCAUUUGCUGUAGCUCAGGCUAUUGCUAUGGCUCAGGUUUGAUUCCCGGCCUGGAAAUUUCUGCUUGCCACAGGCAAAGCAAAAAAAAAAGGGGGGGGGAAUAAUGCACAUUUUGUAUCUUACAAAACAAACCCUUCGACACAGGUACUGGGAUAGGGCUUAAAAGCAAACAAAUGAGUAAUUACGCAAAGUGGGAUAAAAUGACGAAUAGCCUCAUGUCCGUUCAUGAAAAAGUUCAGGUCAGCUUUUGCCAAAUUGGUUAUGAAAAAAAAUUGUAUGAAUCAAGUCCAGGUUUUCACAGUUUUGUAGUUUAGAUCUGAGGAUAAAGGAUUGUGGAUGCAUGAGGAUUAAAUGAAAUACGUAUAAGGCUUAACAUGGCGGCAACGCACACGAAAUGCUUAAAUGAAGUAAGCUAUCAUUAUCACGACAUUGGUCUACUUGACUUCAGCCCCUUACUGGCAGCGAGGUCGUGGAGAGGCAGGGGUUUGUGUCUUCCGUGUCCAGCCCCUCGCACUGCACUGCACAUUGUAGGAGCUUAAUCAACGCCAUCUGACUCAAUCGAAGACAUCAUCUCAUUGCUUAAAUAAAUUUCCAGUCACAGACAUGUAUAAGCUUAUAAAUAGCUGAAUAAUCUAAAGGCUAGACCUGAAUUCCUCCAAAUAAAGUUUACAGUCUGGGUCACCAAGAGGCAAAAGAGAUCAAAAUGAAGCCACGGGGAUUUUUCUACAGGAAAGAUGGCAUCAUUUGUCGUGACCAUCAAAAAACCUGACCAGCUUUCAGACAGAGUGGGAAAAGAAGGCUGUUGGGGCGAAGAGCACGAGCCCCAGCCUGGCAGGAGUGACAGCCAGGGCAGGAGAGAGGCGUCUGACCCGGGGGUCAUGUGAAGCCGGAGUGGGAGCUGAGGGACAGCGGCUGACUCCUGGGUGGGAUGAGCGCUUUGGUGGCACGAGUUGGUGGUCUGAGGGCAGUCACCCUCCAACCGCAGCCGGCACAAUCCGGCCUAAUUGGCCUUUGUCGGCAGCCUCAAUGCAGGCCCCAAUCUGAAUAGGCCUCCUUCUCUCAGGCUGACACCCCUAAGAGGAUUCAGCACUUGUGAGUAAUUUGACCAAGCCUAACUUGAAGCAAUAAAACCUUUAGAGCCCUUCCAAGAUCUUCUUUCUACAAGGAAGAAAGAUCCUGCAGGCAGGUUAGAGGAGCUUGUCUUCCCUCCCCGGGGUUGGGGGGGUGUUCAGUGGUUCAUAUUUGGGAUAUUCAUACAGAUGAAGGAAGACGAGCUCACUAAGGAGAAAAAUGAGCUGUCUGCUAAAUUGGCUGAGAUAUGGUUUAUUGAAUGGCAGGUCACUUUGCUUGGAUGAUCAGCCAUUUGUCAUACGUGACCAGAGGCCCCUGGGAAUCAGGGCCUGGGAAUGUGAAAGGAAUCAAUGGGAGCUCUAGCCCAAGGGAAACUUUUUCCAGCAAGAAUUCAUUCAUUAACUCCUCUAAGGUCUGCUUUUGUCUUCUCACCUCAUGUCCACUCCUCAGUUCAAGAUGGCCCCAGAGUGUGAACUAGUCCUAGGAACAGGUCACAGGGCCUACCAAGAACUAGCCAGUAUAGGGGCUUUGCUCCUGAAACCCUCCCACACAGGUAGUCAUAUUCAAAGAAGCCCUAUAAGUGCAUGAGGUGGGUUGGAUUCAUUCUGAAAUGACGAAUUACAGCUCUGCCUGGAAAGUCAUGAGCCUCGAUGCUGCUGUUGUACUUUCAGCCAAUGUAUAUGGAUUCGGCCAACCCACAGGGUUCCAGCCACUUAUCUCAGGGAUGCUGCCACUGUCAAAACCAUUCUCGAACCCCCUUCUAGGGAACUAUCUCCAGAGUUUGCACCAUUUUCUGAAGAAUCUCUACAAUGGUGACAAACCUGCAUAUUUGGAAUUUGAUUAGUAGAUAGAAGCCGUACCUUAACCAAUGACGAAAAUUAAGGAGGUGGCCCAGGAAAUUCCAUUUAAAAAUAGAAUAAUGAAGCAGGAAAUAAUGCCUUUCUUUGGGGGCUAACCCUGAAGGAAAAAGAAUGAACUUUUACUGAGCUCCCGCCAUGUGUCAAGUUUAAAAUAACCACCUUGAGGCAAGUAGCAUAACUUUUAUACAGAAAACGAGACUCAGAGAACUCAAGUAACUUCUGAAAGGUCACAAAGCUCAUCAGUGGGAAAUGUGAGAUUGAUGGCUAUUUCUUCUAUUCAUCUGUAAAGCUAGUGGGUCUCUUUUUGCUACAGCAUACUGCUUGCUUGUUUGCUUGCUCGCUUGCUUUUUCUCUUUUCUUUAGGGUGGCACCUAUGGCCUAUGGAAGUUCCCAGGCUAGGGGGCAAAUCAGAGCUGCAGCCUCCGGCCUAUGCCACAGCCACAGCAACGCCAGAUCCAAGCCGUGUCUUCGACUUACACCACAGCUCACGGCAACGCCAGAUCCUUAGCACGCUGAGUGAGGCCAGGGAACAAACCUGCAUCCUCAUGGAUCCUCGUCGGGUUUGGUAACCACUGAGCCACAACAGGAACUUCUGCUUUCAUUGAAAAUCAUUAAAAUAGAGAGAAAAGGAGUGGUGCCUCCAACUUUGAUACAUGGACAAAAUGUCUUUAUCAUUUUCACACCCUGAGAAUCAUUUGAUACAUGUUAUAAUUCUGAUGGAAAUUACUUAUUUUCCCAAAUGAAUUUGUAUUUUAACUUCCAAGUACAACUCACAGUGGUCGUGGUCCCCAGAGAGUUUACAUUCUAGUGGGGAAGGCAGACCUACUACCCCCAUGCUUCACCAAAAGCAAGUGCAUAGAUGAAAAAGGAAGUAGACAGAUAACUAUAAGUUGUAAUAAGACCUAUGAAUAAAAAGGUAAGAGGCUGAGAUACAGAACAAAGGCGCCUCCUCUAGGCUUCUCUAAGGCUGACAGGCUGACAGGACAGACACAUGAACUGUGAAAACAAAGAUUACUCCAGACAAAGUGAAUAGCACAUGCAAAGGCCCUGAGGCUGGAAAGAGCUUGGUAUAUGCAACGGACAGGGAAAAGGCCAAUGUUGGGAGAAUAUGGUAAAUAAGGGGAACCAGGGGCACAAGAUGAGGUGGAAGGGAAGGUUGGAAGCAGAUUGCGUAGCGUUUUCUAAAGUGUGGUAAAGACUUUGAAUUGUAUUCUAGAUGAAGCAGGGAGCCAUCGGAGGGUUUGGGGCAGAGGAUGACAUGAUAUGAUAUUCACUGAAGAGAGACUGCUGGUUGAAGUUGUGGAGAUUGGAUGGGAGGGAAGCAAGAGCAGAAGUGGGAAGCCCUUUGCUGUAUGUAGGUAUAAGGGAGAGUCAUGAUUGUGACUUGGGCUGGACUCAUCACAGUAGAUGCAGAGAAAGGAGGAUGGAUUUGGGGAUAUAUUUUGAGAUAGAAGCAAUGGACUUCCUAAUGAAAUGGCUGCGGGCCUAAGGGGAAAGAAGCUUGAAUGACUUGGCGAAUGGCAGUGCCAUUCACUGAGCCAGUGAAGACUUGGCCAAGGAACACUCUGCUGGGGGGAAAUGAACAGUUCAGUCUUAGACUUGCUGUGUUUGAAAAGUCUUCUAAAUAUCUACAGGGAAAUGCCAGUUAGGCAGGGGGAGGUGUGAAUCUAGCCUAAAAAUAUAAAUUUGGGGAAAGGUAGCAUAUAUCCUUGUCUACAAUCAUGGGACUUGAUGGAUCACGUAGGCAGAGUGUGUACACAGUAACAAAAAGAUGGAAACACGACCAAACCCCCAGGUUUUCCACCCUGAAGAGGCUGAACAGAGGAGAGGGAGUCAGCAAAGGAGACCAGAGUCACGCAGAAGGGGGAGGAGAGAGCAUUGAUGUCUGACCCAGGGCGCUCGCAUAAGGGGGGCUGGGACAAGCACCACCAUUACAGCAGACGGACCCUGGCCUCAGAUUACUGUUCCCGGGGGUCAGCCCCUCUGCCGAAUAACCUGAGAGGCUCUCUGCGCUGUUAGUACUCUUUCCUGGCACCCUGAGCCCCAGCGAGCCAGGACAGGAAGCUGCCUUUGCUGCCCACAGGCAAUGCUGCUAACUGCAGCCAAAGCCACGGCUUGGGGACUUGGGGCCAAGCAAAACUCAGCACCCGCAGGUAACACAGAAAGUGAGGAUUCAAAAAACCCACAAGGACUUGCCCUCUGACAUCCUGAAGAAUCCAUCACGUAAACAAAUAAACUGUGUAACCGUCACUUAAUGUCUGUCUCACGUACUGAACAUGUCCCCCCACCAGAAGCAGCGACUGUGUCCCGACUCGCUGCCCACGUUAUCCCCUGUGCCCAGCAUCGUGCCUGCGCACGUGGAUGAGGUGACCUAUGAGCCAACCGUCGCAGCCGUGGCGGCUUGGUGUUGAGAGCUAGAGGCCAAGGCUACAAAGUUCCUAGCUCCCCAGAGACCACGACUAUUAGGGGUCUCUAGGUGGGCACCAGCCCCAGCAGCUCUCUAUGCAGU
rnacentral:lncRNA from 1 species